GCGCGGAGUUGUUUGGGCGUGUGUCUUCUUCACUUUGCUCCACCGAACCACCGCUACUAGGGUGAGAGAGGUUAAGAUGACAGAGGGAGCGAGAGUGUUCUUCUUUGCUUCGCCCCUGACCCAAGUGAAUUCGCGUCUGAUCAUCUAUCUGGGCACAAGGUGAUUGAGCUGCCUCGAAGAUAGACAAUGCACAGGCUUUCUGAACGUGGCGAUCUUCUUGAUUUUAAGAGGUAUGUACUAGAGAAACUCAAAGAGGGUCUACAUUGAAGGAUUUAUAAAAACUGGUUGCAGGUGGAGUUUAGAGAGAAGUACAAGAAGGAACAUCCCAACAACAAAUCGGAGAGAGCGCCCUACCAGGCCAAGGCAGAGAAGAGAAAGGUUGAAUAGAACAACAUGGAAGUUUAUAACAAGAAACAAGUAAUUGUGUGAUAGAGUAAAAGCUUAGUCCUUUAAUGUAUCUGAUAGCUGCAAAGGUUUUUGCGUUUGUAGUAGUCGUCUUCACUUUUUCAUGGAAAGUGAUAGUUCGUGCUCUUGAAGAAAAUGCUAGAGCUUCCUACAAUUUGGACACUCUUUGAACUAUAGAGCCUUCUGAGAAAGAACCGAUUCAGUGACAACUUUGAACCAUCAGAUCAGACCAGAACAAAUACAUCGGUUCAAUCUGACACAAAAGACCUUACCUAGCCACUUCUGCUCUGCAAUCUUAUGCUUUUUGUUAUGUUGUGUAACUCUUUGUGAUAAAGACCAAUCUCUAUGGUUUUUUGGUAAUGCUAACGGUGCUUAAAAAACAAUGUCAUGCUAUGUACAUAUAACCACUGGUUGUCAGGACCAUUCUCUAUGUUUUCUGUAAUGCCUAAAACCAAUCAACCAAGAUAGCAGACAGUUUGUACAUCUAACAAUCAAUGUACAUUUUGGCUAUUCUUCUUUGUUUUCUCA